rnacentral:rRNA from 1 species
GACGAACGCUGGCGGCGUGCUUAACACAUGCAAGUCGAACGGAAAGGCCCUGCUUUUGUGGGGUGCUCGAGUGGCGAACGGGUGAGUAACACGUGAGUAACCUGCCCUUGACUUUGGGAUAACUUCAGGAAACUGGGGCUAAUACCGGAUAGGAGCUCCUGCCGCAUGGUGGGGGUUGGAAAGUUUCGGCGGUUGGGGAUGGACUCGCGGCUUAUCAGCUUGUUGGUGGGGUAGUGGCUUACCAAGGCUUUGACGGGUAGCCGGCCUGAGAGGGUGACCGGCCACACUGUGACUGUGAUACGCCCCAGACUCCUCUGGGAGGCAGCAGUGUGGAAUAUUGCACAAUGGGCGGAAGCCUCAUGCAGCAACGCCGCGCGCGGGAUAUCGGCCUCCGCGUGUUAAACCGCUUUCGCCUGUGACGAAGCGUGAGUGACGGUAAUGGGUAAAGAAGCACCGGCUAACUACGUG